AUUGAACGCUGGCGGCAUGCCUCACACAUGCAAGUCGAACGGCAGCACGGGGGCGAACCCUGGUGGCGAGUGGCGAACGGGUGAGUAAUGCAUCGGAACGUGCCCAGUAGUGGGGGAGUAACUAGUCGAAAGAUUAGCUAAUACCGCAUACGACCUAUGGGUGAAAGCGGGGGAGUUCGCAAGAACCUCGCGCUAUCGGAGCGGCCGAUGUCUGAUUAGCAGUUGGCGGGGUAAAGGGCCCACCAAGGCUUCGAUCAGUAGCUGGUCUGAGAGGACGACCAGCCACACUGGGAC
rnacentral:rRNA from 1 species